rnacentral:rRNA from 1 species
GAUGAACGCUGGCGGUAUGCUUAACACAUGCAAGUCGAACGGACUCUUCGGAGUUAGUGGCGGGCGGGUGAGUAACGCGUGAGAAUCUGGCUUUGGGUUCGGGACAACCACUGGAAACGGUGGCUAAUACCGGAUGUGCCGAGAGGUAAAAGAGAAAUUGCCUGAAGAUGAGCUCGCGUCUGAUUAGCUAGUUGGUGAGGUAAAGGCUCACCAAGGCAGCGAUCAGUAGCUGGUCUGAGAGGAUGACCAGCCACACUGGGACUGAGACACGGCCCAGACUCCUACGGGAGGCAGCAGUGGGGAAUUUUCCGCAAUGGGCGAAAGCCUGACGGAGCAAUACCGCGUGAGGGAAGAAGGCUCUUGGGUUGUAAACCUCUUUUCUCAGGGAAGAACAAAAUGACGGUACCUAAGGAAUCAGCAUCGGCUAACUCCGUG